UGAGCAAUCUGCCCUUCUCAUCGGAAUAAGCGUUGGAAACGACGUCUAAUGCCGAAUACGACCUCCUUUCGCAUGAUCGAGGUGGAAAGCUCCGGCGGAGAAGGAUGAGCUCGCGGCCUAUCAGCUAGUUGGUGUGGGUAAUGGCCCACAAGGCGACGGACGGGUAGCCGGCCUGGAGAGGGUCGACCGGCCACACGUGGGACUGAGACACGGCCCAGACCUCCGUACGGGAGCAG
rnacentral:rRNA from 1 species